AGAGUUUGAUCCUGGCUCAGGGUGAACGCUGGCGGCGUGCCUAAGACAUGCAAGUCGAACGGGUUGGUAACAACACCGUGGCGGACGGGUGAGUAACGCGUGGGUGACGUGCCCUGGAGUUGGGGACAACCAAGCGAAAGUUUGGAUAAUCCCCGAUGGUGAUGCAGCUCCUGUGCUGUAUCUAAAGAUUUAUCGCUCCAGGAUCGGCCCGCGUCCUAUCAGGUAGUUGGUGGGGUAACGGCUCACCAAGCCAACGACAGGUAACUGGUCUGAGAGGACGACCAGUCACAGGAGCACUGAGACACGGGCUCCACUCCUACGGGAGGCAGCAGUUAGGAAUAUUCGUCAAUGGGGGAAACCCUGAACGAGCGACGCCGCUUGAAGGACGAAGCCUUUCGGGGUGUAAACUUCUGAACUCGGGACGAUAAUGACGGUACCGAGCUAAUAGCACCGGCUAACUCCGUGCCAGCAGCCGCGGUAGUACGGAGGGUGCGAGCGUUACCCGGAUUUACUGGGCGUAAAGGGCGUGUAGGCGGUUUGUUAAGUCCGAUGUGAAAGACCGGGGCUCAACCCCGGGAACGCGUUGGAUACUGACAGACUAGACGGCUGGAGGGGGUAGCGGAAUUUCCGGAGUAGCGGUGAAAUGCGCAGAUACCGGAAGGAACGCCAAUAGCGAAGGCAGCUACCUAGACAGCACGUGACGCUGAGGCGCGAAAGCAUGGGGAGCAAACCGGAUUAGAUACCCGGGUAGUCCAUGCCCUAAACGAUGAGUGCUGGGUGUCCGGCGUAUGCUGGGUGCCGAAGCUAACGCGUUAAGCACUCCGCCUGGGAAGUACGGUCGCGAGACUGAAACUCAAAGGAAUUGACGGGGCCCCGCACAAGCGGUGGAGCAUGUGGUUUAAUUCGAAGGAACGCGCAGAACCUUACCAGGCCUUGACAUCUGGGGAAUCCCGCUGAAAGGUGGGAGUGUCCGCAAGGAAGCCCCAAGACAGGUGCUGCAUGGCUGUCGUCAGCUCGUGUCGUGAGAUGUUGGGUUAAGUCCCGCAACGAGCGCAACCCCUGUAGUUAGUUGCCAGCAGCUCGGCUGGGCACUCUAGCUAGACUGCCUGCGAAAGCAGGAGGAAGGCGGGGAUGACGUCUAGUCCGCAUGGCCCUUACGGCCUGGGCUACACACGUGCUACAAUGGUUGCUACAGAGCGCUGCAACACGGCGACGUGAAGCCAAUCGCUUAAAAGCAACCUCAGUUCGGAUUGGAGUCUGCAACUCGACUCCAUGAAGCCGGAAUCGCUAGUAAUCGCGAAUCAGCUACGUCGCGGUGAAUACGUUCCCGGGGCUUGUACACACCGCCCGUCAAGCCAUGGGAGUAGGUUUCACCUGAAGUCACUGGGAGCUUAAGGCAGGUGCCGAGGGUGGGGCUUAUGACUGGGGCUAAGUCGUAACAAGGUAGGUGUACCGGAAGGUGCGCCUG
rnacentral:rRNA from 1 species